AAGCCAUGCAUGUCUAAGUAUAAACGAUUUAAUCGUGAAACCGCGAAUGGCUCAUUAUAACAGCUAUAAUUUACUUGAUCUUGACACAAUCCUACUUGGAUAACUGUGGUAAUUCUAGAGCUAAUACAUGCAUUAAAGCUCUGACCUCACGGGAAGAGUGCAUUUAUUAGAACAAAACCAAGCGGCUUCGGCUGUUUCUGGUUGACUCAUAGUAACUGAGCUGAUCGCAUGGUCUUGCACCGGCGACGUGUCUUUCAAGUAUCUGCCGUAUCAACUUUCGAUGGUAGUGUAUCUGACUACCAUGGUGAUCACGCGUAACGGAGAAUAAGGGUUCGGCUCCGGAGAGUUCGCCUGAGAAAUCGCGAACACAUCUAAGGAAGGCAGCAGGCGCGAAAAUUACCCACUCUCAGCACGAGGAGGUAGUGACGAAAAAUAACGAGACCGUUCUCUUAUGAGGCCGGUCAUCGGAAUGGGUACAAUUUAAACCCUUUAACGAGUAUCU
rnacentral:rRNA from 1 species